GCGGGGGUCGCCAAGCCAGGUCAAACAGCGUAGGGCUAGAGGCGCUGGACUGAGGCUCCAGUCCCGUAGGGGUUCGUGGGUUCAAAUCCCACCCCCCGCA
rnacentral:tRNA from 1 species